CCUACGGGAGGCAGCAGUGAGGAAUAUUGGUCAAUGGGCGUAAGCCUGAACCAGCCAAGCCGCGUGAGGGAUGAAGGUUCUAAGGAUUGUAAACUUCUUUUAUAAGGGAACAAAGUGAGGGACGUGACCCGUUUUGUAUGUACCUUAUGAAAAAGGAUCGGCUAACUCCGUGCCAGCAGCCGCGGUAAUACGGAGGAUCCGAGCGUUAUCCGGAUUUAUUGGGUUUAAAGGGUGCGUAGGCGGACUUUUAAGUCAGCGGUGAAAGUCCGGGGCUCAACCGUAGAGUGGCCGUUGAAACUGGGAGGCUUGAGUGUGUGUGAGGCAGGCGGAAUGCGUGGUGUAGCGGUGAAAUGCUUAGAUAUCACGCAGAACCCCGAUUGCGAAGGCAGCCUGCCGGGCCAUGACUGACGCUGAGGCACGAAAGCGUGGGGAUCAAACAGGAUUAGAUACCCUAGUAGUC
rnacentral:rRNA from 1 species